AUCAACGUUGGCGGCGCGCCUAACACAUGCAAGUCGAGCGAGAAAGUGUAGCAAUACAUGAGUACAGCGGCGUACGGGUGAGUAACACGUGGGUAAUCUACCUUUUGGUGGGGAAUAACUCUGGGAAACCGGAGCUAAUACCGCAUAAUCCCGCAAGGGAAAAGUCGAAAGACGCCGAUUGAGGAGCCCGCGGCUGAUUAGCUAGUUGGUGGGGUAAUGGCUCACCAAGGCUAAGAUCGGUAGCCGGCCUGAGAGGGCACACGGCCACACUGGCACUGAAACACGGGCCAGACUCCUACGGGAGGCAGCAGUGGGGAAUCUUGCACAAUGGGGGAAACCCUGAUGCAGCGACGCCGCGUGAGCGAUGAAGCCCUUCGGGGUGUAAAGCUCUUUCGACGGGAACGAUUAUGACGGUACCCGGAGAAGAAGCUGCGGCUAACUACGUGCCAGCAGCCGCGGUAAUACGUAGGCAGCAAACGUUGUUCGGAAUUACUGGGCGUAAAGAGUGUGUAGGCGGUCUUGUAAGUUUGGUGUGAAAUCUCCCGGCUUAACUGGGAGGGUGCGCCGAAAACUGCAAGGCUUGAGUACUGGAGAGGAUAGCGGAAUUCCUGGUGUAGCGGUGAAAUGCGUAGAUAUCAGGAGGAACACCGGCGGUGUAGACGGCUGUCUGGACAGUAACUGACGCUGAGACACGAAAGCGUGGGGAGCAAACAGGAUUAGAUACCCUGGUAGUCCACGCCCUAAACGAUGCAUACUUGGUGUGGGUGAUUCAUUUUAUCCGUGCCGGAGCUAACGCGUUAAGUAUGCCGCCUGGGGAGUACGGUCGCAAGGCUGAAACUCAAAUGAA
rnacentral:rRNA from 1 species